rnacentral:rRNA from 1 species
CUAGGGCAUACACCAAUGUACCAAACCCUAUCAAACUCCGAAUACCUUAUAUGUAAUCACAGCAGUCAGGCGGCGAGUGAUAAAAUCCGUCGUCGAGAGGGAAACAACCCAGACUACCAGCUAAGGUCCCUAAAUCUUACUUAAGUGGAAAACGAUGUGAAGUUACUUAAACAACCAGGAGGUUGGCUUAGAAGCAGCCAUCCUUUAAAGAAAGCGUAAUAGCUCACUGGUCUAGUGAUUUUGCGCGGAAAAUAUAACGGGGCUAAAGUAAGUACCGAAGCUGUAGACUUGCACACAACUUAGAUUAUUUAAGUUUAGAAUAUGAGAAACUAAGUUAUGUUUAGUUAUAUUUUUACUGAUUUUUAUAGAGUAAAGAUAGAAAUAAAACUUAGUAAAAUCAGUAAAAAUAUUCUUAGGCUAAAGUUAAGUAGUUUAAGUUGUGUGCAAGUGGUAGGAGAGCGUUCUAUUUGCGUCGAAGGUAUACCGGUAAGGAGUGCUGGAGCGAAUAGAAGUGAGCAUGCAGGCAUGAGUAGCGAUAAUUAAUGUGAGAAUCAUUAACGCCGUAAACCCAAGGUUUCCUACGCGAUGCUCGUCAUCGUAGGGUUAGUCGGGUCCUAAGUCGAGUCCGAAAGGGGUAGACGAUGGCAAAUUGGUUAAUAUUCCAAUACCAACAUUAGUGUGCGAUGGAAGGACGCUUAGGGCUAAGGGGGCUAGCGGAUGGAAGUGCUAGUCUAAGGUCGUAGGAGGUUAUACAGGCAAAUCCGUAUAACAAUACUCCGAGAACUGAAAGGCUUUUUGAAGUCUUCGGAUGGAUAGAAGAACCCCUGAUGCCGUCGAGCCAAGAAAAGUUUCUAAGUUUAGCUAAUGUUGCCCGUACCGUAAACCGACACAGGUGGGUGGGAUGAGUAUUCUAAGGCGCGUGGAAGAACUCUCUUUAAGGAACUCUGCAAAAUAGCACCGUAUCUUCGGUAUAAGGUGUGGUUAGCUUCGUACUAGGAUUUACUCCGAAAGCGAAGAAACUUACAACAAAGAGUCCCUCCCGACUGUUUACCAAAAACACAGCACUCUGCUAACUCGUAAGAGGAUGUAUAGGGUGUGACGCCUGCCCGGUGCUCGAAGGUUAAUUGAUGGGGUUAGCAUUAGCGAAGCUCUUGAUCGAAGCCCGAGUAAACGGCGGCCGUAACUAUAACGGUCCUAAGGUAGCGAAAUUCCUUGUCGGUUAAAUACCGACCUGCAUGAAUGGCGUAACGAGAUGGGAGCUGUCUCAAAGAGGGAUCCAGUGAAAUUGUAGUGGAGGUGAAAAUUCCUCCUACCCGCGGCAAGACGGAAAGACCCCGUGGACCUUUACUACAGCUUGACACUGCUACUUGGAUAAGAAUGUGCAGGAUAGGUGGGAGGCUUUGAGUAUAUGACGCCAGUUGUAUAUGAGCCAUUGUUGAGAUACCACUCUUUCUUAUUUGGGUAGCUAACCAGCUUGAGUUAUCCUCAAGUGGGACAAUGUCUGGUGGGUAGUUUGACUGGGGCGGUCGCCUCCCAAAUAAUAACGGAGGCUUACAAAGGUUGGCUCAGAACGGUUGGAAAUCGUUCGUAGAGUAUAAAGGUAUAAGCCAGCUUAACUGCAAGACAUACAAGUCAAGCAGAGACGAAAGUCGGUCUUAGUGAUCCGGUGGUUCUGUGUGGAAGGGCCAUCGCUCAAAGGAUAAAAGGUACCCCGGGGAUAACAGGCUGAUCUCCCCCAAGAGCUCACAUCGACGGGGAGGUUUGGCACCUCGAUGUCGGCUCAUCGCAUCCUGGGGCUGGAGCAGGUCCCAAGGGUAUGGCUGUUCGCCAUUUAAAGCGGUACGCGAGCUGGGUUCAGAACGUCGUGAGACAGUUCGGUCCCUAUCUGCCGUGGGCGUAAGAAGAUUGAAGAGAUUUGACCCUAGUACGAGAGGACCGGGUUGAACAAACCACUGGUGUAGCUGUUGUUCUGCCAAGAGCAUCGCAGCGUAGCUAAGUUUGGAAAGGAUAAACGCUGAAAGCAUCUAAGCGUGAAGCCAACUCUAAGAUGAAUCUUCUCUAAGCUCUCUAGAAGACUACUAGUUUGAUAGGCUGGGUGUGUAAUGGAUGAAAGUCCUUUAGCUGACCAGUACUAAUAGAGCGUUUGGCUUAUCUUU